rnacentral:rRNA from 1 species
GACGAACGCUGGCGGCGUGCUUAACACAUGCAAGUCGAACGGAAAGGCCCUGCUUUUGUGGGGUGCUCGAGUGGCGAACGGGUGAGUAACACGUGAGUAACCUGCCCUUGACUUUGGGAUAACUUCAGGAAGCUGGGGCUAAUACCGGAUAGGAGCUCCUGCUGCAUGGUGGGGGUUGGAAAGUUUCGGCGGUUGGGGAUGGGCUCGCGGCUUAUCAGCUUGUUGGUGGGGUAGUGGCUUACCAAGGCUUUGACGGGUAGCCGGCCUGAGAGGGUGACCGGCCACAUUGGGACUGAGAUACGGCCCAGACUCCUACGGGAGGCAGCAGUGGGGAAUAUUGCACAAUGGGCGGAAGCCUGAUGCAGCAACGCCGCGUGCGGGAUGACGGCCUUCGGGUUGUAAACCGCUUUCGCCUGUGACGAAGCGUGAGUGACGGUAAUGGGUAAAGAAGCACCGGCUAACUACGUG